rnacentral:rRNA from 1 species
GGUUAUUGGUUAGUAACAAUAAUCUUACCUGCUCAGUGCUUGAUAUUGUAAAUGGCUGCAGUAUUUUGACUGUACUAAGGUAGCAUAAUCAAUAGCUUUUUAAUUGAAGGCUGGUAUGAAAGGUUAAUACUAUAAGGAUGGUUUUGUUAAUUUAUUUUGAAUUUAAAUUAAUAGUUAAAAUGCUUAUAUGAAUCUCUGGGACGAGAAGACCCUAGAAGCUUUUAAAUAUAUAAUUUUUGGUUGGGGUGACUAAUGAAGAUAUUAAUCUUUAAUUUUUGAAAAUAGAUGAAGAUAAGUUACUCUAGGGAUAACAGCGUUAUUUAAUUUAUGAGUUCUUAUUUAAAAUUAUGGUUGCGACCUCGAUGUUGAAUUAAAUGGAAAUAAGGUGAAGAAGCUUUAAUGUUUUAGUCUGUUCGACUAUUAAAUUUUUACA